rnacentral:rRNA from 1 species
GACGAACGCUGGCGGCGUGCUUAACACAUGCAAGUCGAACGGAAAGGCCCUGCUUUUGUGGGGUGCUCGAUUGGCGAACGGGUGAGUAACACGUGAGUAACCUGCCCUUGACUUUCGGAUAACUUCAGGAAACUGGGGCUAAUACCCGAUAGGAUCUCCUGCUGCAUGGUGGGGGUUGGUAAGUUUCGGCGGUUGGGGCUGGACUCGCGGGUUAUCAGCUAGUUUGUGGGGUAGGUGCUUACCAAGGCUUUGACGGGUAGCCGGCCUGGGAGGGUGACCGGCGACAUGGGUACUGCGGUACGGCGCAGUAUCCAACGGGAGGCAGCAGUGGAGAACAUUGCAGAACGGCGGGACGCCAGAGACAGAAAUGCCGGGUGCGGGAUGCUGGGUUUCUAGUUAUAAACAGCUGUGGAAUGAGACGAAGACUGCGUGACGGUAACGGGUAAAGAAGCAACGGCUAACUACGUG